rnacentral:lncRNA from 1 species
UUGUUACAAAAAUAACUUACAUCAGAGUGCGGAAGAUUUAUAACUUAAUUUACAACAUAUGAUGAAGUACAAACUUAACUAAAUUUUUAAAAGGUGUGUAGAGUAGCGAAAGCAUCCUAGGUGAAGCUUCUAAGGUAGGAGAGGUGGAUAAAUCAUGUCGCGCCCACCGACAUGACCUCCAUUAGCAGUCUAAGUCAGCACCUGCAACAGGGGUUAUAAAACCCUGAGUACGAAAGUACUCAACAAGACUUAACCGACUAGAAAAGAGGUGAAGACUCAGAUAUGCAGGCUAUAGGGAUUCAAGGUAAAGCUUUAGCAAGAUCAAAGCAUUUCUUUUGCAUAAAAGCUUACUAAGAGUAAAACCUACUUUCAAGUUUUAACUCAAGAUCAUCAUUUAUGACUAAUCAAAACUAUUAUCAAACUUUCAUAAGUAAACCAUAUCUUUCUUAUACCAAGAUUCACUUAUUACUACGAUGAUGGUACGAGGAUUGAGGCUCCAUAUCCGAGGAAACACGGCGAUUCGAAUCGAUUAAACCCAGCUGGGGAUUCAGUACCACACGACAUAUGUAGAACUUAAUCUUGCAUAUGUCAACCUUUUCUAUAGAUCCUCCCAUACAAGAACGGGUCCAGCGUCACCCGAGAGUACAGUACACCACCAUCCUACAGCCAAUCUAGAUGUUUCCCGGUCAUCUCAGAUCCGUAAGGUGGGUACACGCUACUCUCGCCAUCUCUCCACUCCCAGUACGCGGUUAGCCGUUCUCAAGUAUCGGAAUAGCUAUAGGUAAGGCUUACCGCCGCAUGUGGGCUGUACUCAAAGGUCUCAAUCACAACAGGCCAAUCAACGGUACGGUCCUUAAUCGACACAGUUGGAGACACUACUUUAAGACUCCAUUCUUAAAGCAAGUCCACCGACCGGUCUCAAGUUUAAACAUUAUUAACCAUAAAAGUAUUCCACAACAACCCUUCAAGCUUUCUCAUUUGAAAACCUAUCUAAUAAGCAGGGCUAAGCAUACUAAGCAUUUUCAUAAAGCAGGUAUCAAGGUUAAUAUGGAAAUCAUCAAGGUAGAUAAUGCAGCAAAUAGGAUUCACUCAACUCCUAUUCACCUAAUGCAUCAUAUUAACUCAAGUGAUAUAAAUAACUUUAUGAAAAUACAAGGAUAGGGUUUAAUGUCCGGGGCUUGCCUUGACCGGAAGGGAAGUUCGACAA